CGAUUGAACUUUAGAAAAAAAGUUUCCAAAUCGGCAACAAAAAACUAUCGGACGAAUAAAUUUUGAAGUAAAUUAUAGAUUGCAUUUUUAUCAAGGAAAAUAAUGACCUCACACAGGUCAUUAUUUUUAUCCUUGAAGCAUAUUUCAUUGAAACAUGGUAUCGUCCGGGUUGAUUCUGAAAAAGAAUAACCUGUCGUUCUGAAAGAAAAUAACUCCAUAUAGGUAUAUAAAUAUUUCUA
rnacentral:lncRNA from 1 species